rnacentral:lncRNA from 1 species
UUUUUUUAGGACUUUGUUAUGGAAAAGCAAGUAGAUUGUAUUUGAAUUUGUAGGAAUAUUCUGAGUUCUAGUGAUUGAGAAACAAAGUCCUAAGUGGCUAUCUAUAUGCAGCAAGUUCCUCCCUGGAUUUCUUAGACAAGCUGCUAGAAUGUGGACCCUUUCCCAAUGAAAGAUAUACAGUUAAGGAUUAUGAAGCAUUGUACCCCUCCAUACACCAGGCUCCAGCGGUGCUCAUGCUAUAUCGGUUUAUUAUGGAACACUUACCUGAAAUGGACGCUGAUGCUGCUACCAUCAGAAAGAUUUGCCACUUUGUCUCAUAUAAUUUGUACAAUGUGUUUCAAGGAUGCUACUAUUUACAAAAAACAGGUGUCCCUGUAGGAGGCCCCCUGGCGGGCGUCAUGGUGGAAUUGAUAAUAAGAUAUAAAGAGUCCACAGUCUUAGAAAAUUUUAAGAAGGGCA